UAUGAAACCCAAAAGCCCUAACACCAUUUGUAUUUUAAGAUUGUACUCAAAUCGGGUAAUGUGUUCAAACCCCAAAUUCUUUUGGGUGUUAAAUGCAGUUAGCAAGAGUGACUAUUUCAUCAUAUUUACCUCUAAUUUUUUUAACCCAUUUAAAAUCUACAGGAGUAGAAAGUAAUUUUUCCAACAAUAUCAUCGUGUAAAGCCCUUCUCGGUGUUGACAAUCUCUUCGCUGGGUAAUUUUUUUUUUUUUUGGAAAUUCUGAACUUUUUGGUGAUUGCAUGUUUGGUAUUCCUCUCAAAAUGCUGAAAUGAGAUGUGUGUGUGGUAUGGGUCUGUUAUUUUUUCUGAUAUUUCUCGACAAAAUUCUAAAUAGCAGUUUUCAACUGAUUCUUUUAUUUUUUACGCGAUUCUUUGUUUUUUGCGCGAUAUUGUUUUUUUCCUUUUUGUUUAUUUGGUUGGUUGGUUUAUUUUUCUAGUCUUUUUUAACUGUGCUUGUUAAGGUUGUAGCUUUCGAUUUGCUAUAUUUUUUUACUGAACGUUAUUUGGAGUACAUUAGCAAUUAACCAUACCUCCAGAAGCCUGCAAAAGCUCUGAGGCUCACGUAGAUGGUUAGAGCAACCCGAAUUCGGACAAAUUUAUAACUUGAUGAAAGAAUGAACAAGCAUACAAUGAUUGGCCUUUUCGCAGACUUAAAAAUUAUCUAGGAUGGCGACACAGAUGAUAAUUGCUCAGCUCUAAUUAUAUUAUGCCUACAAAAUUGCCAACACAUUGCUGAAAAAUUCUAAGGUACACCUCAUCGGUUGAGUGACAAACAGUAAUCCUCUGCCCCCGUUUCACUAAUGAAGUGAAGCUUCUUGAAUUCUAGCUUCUACGACUGCUAAAGUCUAUAAUGGAGCUGUAAUAUUUUAAUUUCAUUUGGAGGAAAUUUGAUCAUCUUAAAAAUGACAGAACUUUCUUCAUAUCUAUUUUGGGAUCUCCCCUCCUUUUUAACUGUGGCACUACUUACUGUACUAAUGAACUACUUAUCAGUAGCCUUUGCUUUCAGUCUGUGCCAAAUCUUCCACAUGUAUUUGUUUAAGAAGAUACAAUUCAUCAUUCUCAAAAGAAAAAGAUGAAAACGAAAUUUGAUAAUUGUCUAAAAAGUGUGAACUUAUAGAUUAAGGAAGCUGUUUGAUGUAUAGUGUGUUGCAGUACCUUUUUUUUUCUUACUCUUUUAUUUUGUGAUAACAAGGCACUUGGAUAGAAUAUCCGACUUUUAUUCACAUGGUGUCCUUCCUUUUCUUUUAAGUUCCUGAUAAUGAGUCAUCAGCAAGAACUGACCCAAAACUCAAUGGAAAUAUUUCUGUUGUUUUAAAAAGGAACAACAAAUAGGACUGGUGAAAGGACACUAGUACACAUUCACUUUUGAACAAAAUAGGAAUAUUUUGAAGGUUAUAACACUUAUACAAUCACUGGUCCUUUAAAUUAUUAUUUUAAACUUGGAAUGGUUUAACAUGGGAAUGUCUUCUCUGCUUGCAGUAAUUGUGACUGAACAGAUACUCUUAAGAUAAUGGCAAGCUACAAAAUCCUUUUCUCAAAUUGUUUUUACAUGUGAAAUGCUUUGUUUUUGUGUUUAUAUUUGUUUUGCUUGAUAAGUAGAUUUCAGAGAUUAAUCAUCUAAUAAAAGAUAAAUUUACUUUCUACACCAAAGUAGUUUGGAUCCAAAUAUUCCUACAGUUGGAUAGUUGUAGAUAAAUUUACUUUCUACACCAAAGUAGUUGCAUAUAGCUUUUUCUGUUCGAUGUAGUACCCUUGUGCAAAUGUUUAGUUAUUGGAUUGGUGGCAUUUCUAUGGAAUCUCUCUGUCUUGGUAUCAUACUGAUUUAUCAAUGCUUUGAAGUAAAAUGAAGCUUGGUUAUUGUCUUAGAAAUAAAUUAUCAAUGCUUUGCGCAUGGAUUUUCUGUUUAUUAUGACUCUCGAGCUUAAGUCGCUUCUUCGGCCUAAUGUUCUUAUCUGUAUCUUUGAUGUUAUCUUCAAGCUCUAACAAUAUGAUCUUGUAUUUGUUUCUUUAAUAAUAGGGACAAGGUUCUUAAAUAGUGGUGACAAUGAAGGAGGAGCUUAAAGCUAAGGCACUCAAUAUUUUUCUUUUUAGUUAUAUGUAAAUGCGUACAAUGACAAUGAAGUAUUACCUAGUAUAUAUGCGGAGGAACUUGAAGCUAAGGCACUCAAUAUUUUACUUUUUGGUUAUAUGUAUAUGCGUACAAUGAUAAUAAUGUAUCACGUAGUGUAUAUGCGGAGGAGCUUGAAGCUAAGGCACUCAAUAUUUUGCAUUUUGGUUAUAUGUAUGUGCGUACAAUGAUAAUGAAGUAUUGCAUAGUAUAUAUGUAACUGAACUUUUAGUAAUGGAAAUGUUUAGUAUUUGGUUUAA
rnacentral:lncRNA from 1 species